UACGGAGGCUGCAAGCGUUAUCCGGAUUCACUGGGUUUAAAGGGUGCGUAGGAGGGCAGGUAAGUCAGUGGUGAAAUCUCCAAGCUUAACUUGGAAACUGCCGUUGAUACUAUUUGUCUUGAAUACCGUGGAGGUGAGCGGAAUAUGUCAUGUAGCGGUGAAAUGCUUAGAUAUGACAUAGAACACCAAUUGCGAAGGCAGCUCGCUACACGAAUAUUGACUCUGAGGCACGAAAGCGUGGGGAUCAAACAGG
rnacentral:rRNA from 1 species